UCCUGCUAAAGGAAUCUUUUGCCGGUUCUAAAAGCACCGGUGAAUAAGGGGUGGGCAAGUCUGGUGUCAGCCGCCGCGGUAAUACCAGCACCUCGAGUGAUCAGGACGUUUAUUGGGCCUAAAGCAUCCGUAGCUGGCUUUGCAAGUCUCCGGUUAAAUCAACCUGCUCAACAGAUUGGCCGCUGGAGAUACUACAAAGCUAGGGAGUGGGAGAGGCAGACGGUAUUCGGGGGGUAGGGGUAAAAUCCUCUGAUCCUCUGAGGACCACCAGUGGCGAAGGCGGUCUGCCAGAACACGUUCGACAGUGAGGGAUGAAAGCUGGGGGAGCAAACCGGAUUAGAUACCCCCGUAGUCC
rnacentral:rRNA from 1 species